UGUUGAUGUUACCUAGGAGGUAAUGCAAUGUAAUUUAUUGCCCAUUAAGUAGAGCUCCCAAUAAUACCUUAGGUGAUUCAUAAAAUAUGUGUCAAGGUUUAGCAAUGAAACAAAUUUGUUUUUUCAUACUGCUUUUUGUUGCUACUUAUCACUGGUAGAGUAUUCUGAAGCUCUCAGAACAUCUUCCAACCCCUGGAAUAUCAGUAGAUGUUAUUUGGAGAUGAGGGGAUUAUGACAUAGGCAGACCUUUUUGCCUAUGUCAUUAUACAGGUAAGUAGUAUGGUUUGCAGGAAACCAUGAGUAACAGUCCUAUUCCAAGGAGAUCAGAGUGCCUCCUAGCACAACUCCUUUACUUCACAUGUGAAAGCAGUUGAGUUGUGGAGCUAUGGAGUGGUUUCUCAAGGGUGCCACAUUCUAGCAGGUCAUCUGUGACUUAACUUUUCUGGGUCAUGUGUUCAAUCCAAUAAAAGGAAAUAAAAGAACCUCUCACUUGUCAAAAAAAUUCCUCCUAACUUCCUUCUUCCUAAACCCACAAAUCCAACGCCAACUGAAAUCGAGAUGAGAAAUCUUCACUGUCUAGUUUCUUUUCCUUUUCUUCUGGAGAGUCUCUUCUAUCUUCCAAGUCAUCAUUUUCCACAGAAGUGGUAGAAGAGGCAGACAGCUCUCCUCUUCUACCUUUAUGUCCUUGUCUUACCUUUCAUGCUUGAAAUACAAGGUCAAAUUUUGUAGAGUCUCCAGUUUUAACUUGGAUUCAUUUGGAAGAAAGAAUUUGAAAGGACAAAGAAAGAACAAAUGGGGAAAUGUCAUCAGAACCAGUGGGAUCCAGUGAACAAUGAUUGAUUGGAUUUGAAGUUAAGGGCCGAGUAGCACAGUAUUGGUGAAGGUCAACAAUGAAGGUACUUGAGCAGAAUUCCUGAACCCAGCCUCGCUGAUUCACUGCCGAUAUAUGGUGAAGCAGGCAUGCUUCACAGGGGAUGGCUGAGUCAGGGGACCAAGAAGGCAUGUGUUGAGAGUCACGCAGCAGACAGAUAAUGCAGCAGAGUCCAAAGACGGCUCCCAUUCGGCUUCUCUGGUGUUUGAAGCUAACGGAUUGUAUGUCAUUGCUGAAGAGCGGGCAGUUCCUGGAGCUGCACAUAUAGGUGGGAAUAAGGAUGCUGAGAAUAUGAUGAAAAAAAAAAUACUUCGAAGGGUGUUUUCCUCCCAAGAUGUUCUGUGUCAUACCUGUCGGCAAACUUCCCCUGCUUUGAAGUUGUGAAUUUCAACAGCUACUCGACCAUGCGCUGUUAGCUGCAUAGAUUAUCAAGGAAAAAUUUCAUGGCAUUGGAUUAACUUGUAAAUUUUUAUUGCAAUGCAGUAAAAAAGGCAUCUUUACUGAAAUCCCUUAAGCACCCAAUUGUGAGCCACUAUCCCAAGUGACCUCAUUCUGAGAUACAUUUUCAUAGAAAACUAUGUUUUGGGGCCAAUAACCAAGUCAUUAUUCUUUACAUUAUUUUAAUAGGACAUUCAGUUGAAAGGAACGUAAAGCUAAGUUAAGGUAUAUAUUUA
rnacentral:lncRNA from 1 species